GGCACAGGCAGGUGGGAAGAAAAGAGAGAGGACAGGCCUAGGAGGAGAAGGAGAUGCAGGGCACUCCUGCCUUCCUGCCCACAAUCAUCUUCACACAGUUGCCCCACCAUUAGAAUAGAGGAGCACAUGCCCCACUCCUGGCUGGCCACUCAAUUCCUGCUUCUUUCCUGUAGCAGCCACAUGCACACUAUUAUGCAACACUGGGCUUGGAUGCCUGCUCUACCAACUAUUGAUCUUCAGGGUUUUUUUUCCCUCUAUUGAUCAUAUUUGUUGAAUGGGGCCCCAUAAAAUUAGACUGAUAAAAGACAGAAGGAGAGAAGCAAAUUUAUUAACAUGUGCAUCAUGUGUAUGCAGGAGAAUGCUUGAUGGUGAGUAACUCAGAGGAAUGGUUAGAACUGGAAUUCACAUGGUAUCUUAGCAAAGAAUAAGAAUCCUGCAGAGAAGUAAUAACCAAAGAAUAAGGAGUUUGAACUUCUAGGGCAGGUAGAUUGGGGGAAGGUAAAUAUAUGUGGAGGCUGAUGGAAGAUAACAUUUGUUGUACAGAUUCUUCUGGGAUUUCUCUGAGCAGAUAAGAAUUUAGAGUCUCUGGUGAUUCAGGAUUUCCUGCCGUUCCUGGUAGAGAUGGGGAGGGCAAAGAAUUUUUCUUGGGUCUGCUUCUACUUAAUUGGCUUUUGCUCAAAAUAAUCAAUAGACCAAAGUGGCAUAUUUUGGAGUGGCAUAUUCUACAACUUCCUCUGAAGGAACUUUCUGGUUCCCUCAUGUGUAAAAAGGAAAUAAAAUUAGUCCUUAGGCAUUCUGAGGAUUUCUUAGAUAAUCCAUUCAAAGAACUCAGAACUGUGUCUAGCAAACAACAUAUGCUCAGUUCAUGCUGCCUAACACCACUGCUGCUCCAGCUGAUGAGAUCCGUUGGAUUUUCCCAAGUUCCUUCCAUCCUGGACUUGGGGGUGAGGGAGGCCCUGGGUAUAGGCAGCUAAAUAGGAAGUGGAAAAAGAUAAUUUAUUAAUAGAAUCCUCUUCCUUCUAGAAUUUCUUGGAGAUGGUGAGGCCAGUGGCAACAGCUGAUUAGGAGACCAUUCAGUAAGGAUUAAGAAUCAAAUACACUGUGUCACUGAGGUAGUCUUAGGCCUGCAGAUCUGUUGUGGGCAAUGUGAAAACAAGAGGAAAAUUAGGAUGUAUUUCAAAAUGGAGUCUGGAGGCCAUGAAGGGGGCAGGAUUUAUGCAGGUUCCAACUUCUCCCUGGGAAUGUGAACUCUGGUCUCUUCCACCCCGUCUGGAACAACCAAAACAAGUGGUCAAUUGAAUUGUACUCAGAGGCUUACGGUACAUAUCAGGAGAUCACCAGACUCUUGUUUUGUGGCCUUUUCCAUUUUGUUUGUACGUUCUUUUUUUUUUUUUUUUUCUGUAGCUUAUGUAGCUCCUGUUUCUUCUCAACAUUCACUAGCACACAUGAGCUCCUACUUUUUCUGCCUUCCGCAGAAUGCUGAUUUAGAGCUUUCUGAAUCUUUGUCACUUGAAUCACAGUUCCUAAGACCUGAAAUAAAGCCAUUUGGAUGGAUUCACUGUGAUAGGUAAGAAAGAAAUUAUUCAUCCAUGAACAGAGAGUAAAAAAGGAGUAAAAAGUGAGGGAAUAGCCAUUGGAAGCUAGAAUCAGUAAAACUGGGAACUUAAGCAGAGAGAAAUGAGGGAGAGCAGCAGGAUUUUGUAGGGAGAGAACUGAAUGGAAAGAGUUAAGGCCAGAGAUCAUGCAGCAAAUUGCUGCCAUCAAAAGCAAAUAUUUGCCAGACUCUAGACGAUAAGACCGCCCAUGGACUUUGAAAAAUACUGUUUACAUGGAAAAAAAAAAAAAAACAUGUUGGAUGAAAAUUCCAAGAAGCCAUUGUUUUAGACGGGAGCCUUCUUGCACUAAGCCCCACAGACCAGAUUAAAAAACAAAAUGGAGUCACUUAGGCUGAGUGAGGUUCUUUAGUACCAAACAGAAAUUGAAUUGUAAUCUGACCUUCCCAGAAAUCAGGAGAAAGAACUCCAGAAAACUUCCUAAACCAGCUCAUUUUGAUUGACAUGAUAAUCAAGUUUCCUCUUCUUUAAUCCUUACCCCUUCUAAUCCUUAUGAAAAGUAACCAGAGGCAAUCUGAUAUUAACCUACCCAUUAAUUUUCUAUUGUCUAUCUCUAUGUCUAUAUUUCAAAGGGAAAGUAAUUUUGAAAUGACCAUCUGAUUUUGGAUUUUUUUUUUAAUUUUUUAUUGUUGGGUGUUCAAAACAUUACAUAGUUCUUGAUAUAUCAUAUUUCACACUUUGAUUCAAGUGGGUUAUGAGCUCCCAUUUUUACCCCAUAUACAGAUUGCAGAAUUACAUCAGUUACACAUCCAUUGAUUUACAUAUUGCCAUACUAGUGUCUGUUGUGUUCUGCUGCCUUUCCUAUCCUCUACUAUCCCCCCUCCCCUCCCCUCCCCUCCCCUCCCCUCUUCUCUCUCUGCCCCCUCUACUAGCAUUCAUUUGUCCCCCUUGUAUUCUUUUUCCCUUUCCCCUCACUUCCUCUUGUAUGUACUUUUGUAUAACUCUGAGGGUCUCCUUCCAUUUCCAUGCAAUUUCCCUUCUCUCUCCCUUUCCCUCCCACCUCUCAUCCCUGUUUAAUGUUAAUCUUCUUCUCAUGCUCUUCGACCCUACUCUGUUCUUAGUUACUCUCCUUAUAUCAAAGAAGACAUUUGGCAUUUGUUUUUUAGGGAUUGGCUAGCUUCACUUAGCAUAAUCUGCUCUAAUGCCAUCCAUUUCCCUGUAAAUUCUAUGAUUUUGUCAUUUUUUAAUGCAGAGUAAUACUCCAUUGUGUAUAAAUGCCACAUUUUUUUUAUCCAUUCAUCUAUUGAAGGGCAUCUAGGUUGGUUCCACAGUCUUGCUAUUGUGAAUUGUGCUGCUAUGAACAUCGAUGUAGCAGUGUCCCUGUAGCAUGCUCUUUUUAGGUCUUUAGGGAAUAGACCGAGAAGGGGAAUAGCUGGGUCAAAUGGUGGCUCCAUUCCCAGCUUUCCAAGAAAUCUCCAUACUGCUUUCCAAAUUGGCUGCACCAAUUUGCAGUCCCACCAGCAAUGUACAAGUGUACCCUUUUCCCCACAUCCUCGCCAGCACUUGUUGUUGUUUGACUUCAUAAUGGCUGCCAAUCUAACUGUGGCAUUUAUACACAAUGGAGUAUUACUGUGCAUUAAAAAAUGACAAAAUCAUAGAAUUUACAGGGAAAUGGAUGGCAUUAGAGCAGAUUAUGCUAAGUGAAGCUAGCCAAUCCCUAAAAAACAAAUGCCAAAUGUCUUCUUUGAUAUAAGGAGAGUAACUAAGAACAGAGUAGGGUCGAAGAGCAUGAGAAGAAGAUUAACAUUAAACAGGGAUGAGAGGUGGGAGGGAAAGGGAGAGAGAAGGGAAAUUGCAUGGAAAUGGAAGGAGACCCUCAGAGUUAUACAAAAGUACAUACAAGAGGAAGUGAGGGGAAAGG
rnacentral:lncRNA from 1 species